AUACAUAUAUUUUAUGCUCUGCAAGCUAAAUUUGUGGGAUUAUACAAUAUUUGGAGAAUAUUACAUAUUAUUGUUAAAAAUUGUUUUAAACUUGAAUAUUCCUAAAAUUUUGGCUAAAUCAUUUUUAGGAAAUUAUUUGUUGAACGUAUGGAGGAUAUUUGCAUAUGUUUUUCUUACGGUUCAUAUGUUGAUGUUGUGUGUUUAGAAAUGAUUUGUUUUCACUUAUUCCAUGAUGUAAUUUUUUACACCUUAGUAUAAUAUAUAUUUUAAAAUAGGAUUGUAAGCUGCAACUGAUUCAUGAUAUAAUAUUUUAUUAAAGUACAAAAUAAUCAUAUUUCGUGAAAAGAUUUGACUGUAAAUUACGACCAAAUCAUGUUUUGAUAUUUUUCUUUUUCUUAUUGUUGUCCUACUCCUCAAUGGCAAUUAGAUUUUCUUAAACUGUUGCCGUGUUUUUAUUUAAAAGUAGAUUUUAGGGACAAUUUGAAAAAUACCCUAUUUAUAAUUCAAAAUUUGAAAUAUACACUUCUAUUUUUAAUUUUUGAAAACUACACUUAAGUAAAUGUGAUAAGACAUUUUUAUCCAUAUUUUAACAAAAACUAUUUGUUUAAAUAACUAAAGUACAAAUUCAAUAAUACUAUUAUCACUAUUAUAAAAUAACACUUGAAAAUCGUAAGAAAUAUUUUAAACUUCUGCAAAUAAUUUUCAAAAAAAAGUUUUACAAUAACUCUCAUUCCUCAUAUAAAACAAUUCUCGUUCACCCAACAUAUACAAUUUUGUUGAAAUUCAUUCUCUAUCAAGCCAUAUUAAUGACUACCCAGAUUUAGAUUGGGUCAAAGUUGGAUUGUUAUUUAUUUUUUGAAGACUUUUAUUUAUUUACUGUUCUUUUGCAUAUAUGGAAAAUCUAGAACAACAAUAACAGUUAUGAAAUUUAACUUAAUUGUAUCAAAGUCAGAGAAAUUUAAGUUCAAUAAGUAAUAUAUGAUAUUCACUGAAAUUCUUAUUUAAUACACACCAGCAAACAAAAACGCUGUAAAUUAAAAACCAAAGAGAUGAUUUUCCAUCUUUUUUUUUAACUUAGCUUAGAUGAUUUUCCAUCUUUAAAUAAAGAUAACUGCGGUAGUGUAACAAUAAUAACCACAUUUACAGAAUUCAAAACCCGUUGAUACAAUUACAGAACCAUACCAACAUAACAAAAGAAUCUAAGGAAUAAACACAUCGGUGACAAGGGAAAUCACUAGAAGAAUUAUCCAACAUGUCCACCAAGUGGAGAAAGAGACAUAGGCGAAGAUAUUCUUUUAUUUUUUACAUAUUAAAAAUCACUAGAAUAAUUAUAAAUCUCAAAAUUGGAUAGUUUAGUCAUUUUAUCUACACAAAAGUGUAGUUUUCAAAAAUAAAUAAAUAGAAGAGUAGUUUUCGAAAUAAAAUGUCAUUCAAAUGUAGUUAUCCAAAUUUUUCCUUUAGGAAAGUGCAUUAAUAAGUAAGAAAGACAAAAUAUUUAUUGUUAGAUUUAUUAAAUACUUCAGUGAUAUUUCAUUAUAAAUAAGUGGUAAGUUUUAGGGCGAUUUCUUAUUUGUAUUUAUGUUUUAAUAAUAUAGUUGUCUAACUAUUUUAGUGACGAUGAUUUUACGAUUAUAUAUUUAAUUUAGUUGAUAUCAAACUCAAAUAACUAAGUUGGCUCACUUGUCUAAAGUUACGACUUUUGAAAAUAAUUAAUCUCAAAUCACUAAAUUGAUGGCAAGCACCCUCUUAGAUAAAUUAAAUAAUUAAUAAAUAAAUUCAUAUCACUUCUCAAACAACGAAUUUGCUGCAGCGAACUAUAAACUAGCAGUAGGGUUCAGAGGAUCUGACACAGCUAUUGGCAUGUCGGCAGGCACGAGGUAGGGAUAAAAUCCACAUAAAAAUAUUACCGUCAACUCAGAUGCAUGGACCUAAUUAAGGCAUUCCUUAUGGGCAUAGUAGCCAAUUUUCUCAAUUAGGUUGAAAAAUCUAUAUAUAUAAAAGAGGGUUUGGAUCCCUCCCAGGCUAUCCACGUAAGCUGACAGGUCACAAAUUCGCGUGAUACUGUUGCGACACGUAUGAAACGCAUCGUUUCAUUUAAACGUGAUUUCUUAUGGGAUUUGGUCCUUUAGACGUGAUUUCUGUAUCGGGCCUGAGUCGAAGGAAUUCGCACUCUAGCCCUAAACGAAGAAUUUCAGAUCUUCUCCUCUCUUCCUACAACAGCGCCGCCUGACGUCUGAACUCCCUUCCUUGGAUGAAACAGCUCCUGUAAUGGAAGAUGUUGUGAUUACUCCGUCUUUAAUCCCAUUAAUUCGUAAUCUCACUACGAGAGCUUCAGUUGCGUUGUUUCAUCGGCGAGUUCUGUAUAAAUAGUCCGGUCGGUGUUCAUCGGUUGUCGAGGCAAGGCUGCUUCAUUAUUGGGAGGCGAGGCGAGGCUGCUUCAUUAUGCGGGUGGAUUUGCUCCUGGUGGAUGUUAAUGUAGAGUCGAUACUGAUGAUCCGUUGUAUCUUCCUCGCCAUGUCUUCACUCACGGACAGUUGUACGUUGCCAUUUCUAGAGUCACAACUCCAACUGGGCUUAUGAUAUCAGACGAAACUUCUGAUGUGGACGGCAAAGAUGGAGUAACCAAUAUUGUCUACAAUGAAAUCGUCAAAGACGUCCGAGUGACUCAGGUUAGAUCUAAAUAUUUAGAUCAUGCAUCCGUAUCAACCUGAUUUCCGUCUACAGAGACUAACAAUGUAUAUUUGCCAUCGUACGUGGAGGCCUCAUUGCUCCCAGUGAAAUCAACAAGCGGAUAUAAAGGGACACGAAGGCGCAGAUAUAUCAUCAAACUGGAAACGUUCUUCUGCUAACUCCGAUCCGGAUUGUAAAACUUCCUUUAUCAGUUUUGUCUCAUGAAUUACAGCCAGUGUGUUAUUGACCAAUCUUACGCUUUCUGAAAACAUCGUUUACAAAACAAUGGAACAUAACGUUUUUAGACU